GAUGAACGCUGGCGGCGUGCUUAACACAUGCAAGUCGAACGAUGAAGCCCAGCUUGCUGGGUGGAUUAGUGGCGAACGGGUGAGUAACACGUGAGUAACCUGCCCUUAACUCUGGGAUAAGCCUGGGAAACUGGGUCUAAUACCGGAUAGGAGCGUCCACCGCAUGGUGGGUGUUGGAAAGAUUUAUCGGUUUUGGAUGGACUCGCGGCCUAUCAGCUUGUUGGUGAGGUAAUGGCUCACCAAGGCGACGACGGGUAGCCGGCCUGAGAGGGUGACCGGCCACCCUGGGACUGAGACACGGCCCAGACUCCUACGGGAGGCAACAGUGGGGAAUAUUGCACAAUGGGCGCAAGCCUGAUGCGGCGACGCCGCGUGAGGGAUGACGGCCUUCGGGUUGUAAACCUCUUUCAGUAGGGAAGAAGCGAAAGUGACGGUACCUGCAGAAGAAGCACCGGCUAACUACGUG
rnacentral:rRNA from 1 species